UGCCAGCCGCCGCGGUAAUACGUAGGUGGCAAGCGUUGUCCGGAUUUACUGGGCGUAAAGGGUGCGUAGGCGGACAAUUAAGUCAGAUGUGAAAUCCCAGGGCUCAACCUUGGGGCUGCAUUUGAUACUGGUUGUCUAGAGUGCAGGAGAGGAGAGUGGAAUUCCUAGUGUAGCGGUGAAAUGCGUAGAUAUUAGGAAGAACACCAGUGGCGAAGGCGACUCUCUGGACUGUAACUGACGCUGAGGCACGAAAGCGUGGGGAGCGAACAGGAUUAGAUA
rnacentral:rRNA from 1 species